rnacentral:lncRNA from 1 species
CUGAGAUGUCAUGUUGAAACAGAGCAGAGCCUCAUUCCUCUCCCUGCACCACCCUCACCCACAGGAGCCAGAGGGGGCUUGCCAGGAAGUGCAUCUCAUCAUUUCACUCCCAAAUUUAAACCCUCAGGACCUCUGCAUGUCUGCAUAUUUGAGGCCACAAGUCUUAGUAGGGUCCUGGGUGCCUCAGCCCCAGCCACCUGUCUCCCCAGCCUGCUUCCUCACUAGCCAGCCUCUCUGUUCUGUUCCCUUCAUGGAAUCACUUACCAACCGCAGCAGGCCCAUGCCCUUCCAUGCCCUUUAUCAGACAACAGCUCUCCUCUCCCAAUCCCCUUGUCUCCUGGGCAACUUCCAAUCGAUCUUAAACUCUUGUCCUCAGACAUGAAUUCUUCCAGAAAGCCCUGCCUGAUUCCCCGGGCUGGGCCCUGACCCACCUCCCAUGGCAACUUCUCAGAGCUGUCAAGCUGCAGGGCAGCUCCACGGUGGGCUUAGCGUUCAGUGGGCCAGGCUGCUGGGCCAGGCCAUGAUGUGUCAGCGCAGGCUGGUGACAGGCAGAGAUGGUCCUUCAGGAGAAACCUGCCCCUCCACUCUUUACAGCACGGAGGGCACAUUGGGUAGAGAUGAAUUUGAGGCCUUUCGAGGGUUGGCUUCCAUCAGGCUGCUAGCACAGAAAAAUAUAUACCAGUAGCUUAAAAUGAAAGAUCAAGAAAUAAGGUGUUAGCCAAAGUGACUUCUGGCAAGAAAGGUUAGUACUUUGGGAAUAAAGUUUCCUCCCUUUACUUGGGCCUGUGGGUCCUUCUUUUCACUGAGGUCUAAUAGGGUUGGGCUCCCUCUGGGCAAGUCCUAGAACCUGGGAGAGAGACAGAGAGACAAGUCUCCCCACCCCCACAUCCCCAAAGGAGUAACAAGCUCCAGAGAAAGAGGAGGGAGGGAGCCAUAGACCAUUAUGUGUGAUUUCCAUUUUCCCAUCCCUCAUUCUCUCCGUAAGUUCUUUCGCAUUGUCACCAGAUAAUUCAGCCAGCCCUUGGACAUGGGGGUGGGAGGUCUUAGACUGGAAAACCUUGAGCUGAUAAUGAUUAGGGACUCUGAUCAGUGUCCAUCACCACAUUUGCUUGAUUUUGAGGACUAGAUUGGGAAGGGUUGGAAACGGAGGCUGCACAGACGAUUGUGCAGAAGGGACGCUGGCAUGGGGCAUCCAGGGGGUUUGUUCCUUGGAGGGAGAUGGCAUAAGCUCCCAGCCUCCUCUUGCAGGCAGCAGGCAGCAGGCAAAUAUUCAUCCGCUCUUGGUGGUCCUUGUGGCUGGAAGCCAGUCUUCCAUCAGCACUGGCGUCGCUUCUGAGCAUCCUUUCUGCUUUUGUGGGCGCAUAGCUCCGAGCGAGUGUAUGCAUGAUGUGUGCUGCAAUGGGUCCAUGCAUAUAUAUGGAUGAAGAACAUAGAGAAGAAAACGUGUUGUUUUCUUUCUUCUCUCUCAAGUGUUUGCCCUCAUUUUGUGUGGAAGGGAGCGUCAAUUGGAGGAUGCCUGGCUCACAAUGGUGUGGAGCUUCCCGGGGCCAAACUGAGUGUGUGUGGAGAAGGAAGGGCAGGGAGGGGCUCAAACGCAAUCUGCAGAGCGGACUCCUAAUCAGAGCAGCCCAUUCCACAGGCUGACUGGGAAACGUGAACACCAACCCUCAGCGCUGCCUGGGAACACUUGCUGAGAAUACACACCAGCUCCGUGGUCAGUUAAUGGUGCUCUUCGGGCUCGGGCCACAGUACAGCGAAGGAAUGCAGCCAGGAAAUGACAAGGGUGGCGGCUGGGGCAGACCAAAAAGCACAGAGAAGGGGUGAGCCUCACAAGUUGUCAGGCUUCCUGAUUUAUUUUGUGGAAAAUAAAAUUCACUAAAAAAAUACAAUAAAGGGGAAAAUAAACAGAUUAAAGCCAGAAUGAGCCAG